rnacentral:tRNA from 1 species
GCGAGCUUGGCGGAAUCGGUAGACGCACAAGACUUAAAAUCUUGAGUUCCAUAGGGACGUGGGGGUUCAAGUCCCCCAGCUCGCA